UUGUAGAGAUGGGGUCUCGUUUUGUUGCCUAGAGCUGAUCUUGAAAUUCCUGGCCUCAAGGGAUCCUCCUGCCUUGGCCUCCCAAGGUGCUGAGAUUACAGCAGGAAUGGACUAUGCUAUACACCACGGAGGGGCAUUGCUGCUACAGUGCCCAGUGGAGAGUGUCAUGGAUGGUCCCAGCUUUUGGGCAGCCAGCAAAGGGCCCCAUCCAGCCCAUCUCAUGGCUUCCAUGCUAGACCCCCUAAUCCAGCAUGCUGUGGUCUCCGAGCCCAGGGAAAGGCCCUCCCUCCAAACACCAGUUUGGGGACAGGUGAGCAGGUUGGAAGAAACUCCAUUCGGAGGACUCGCCAGGCCUCUUCCUAACCGAGCACUCACCCGUCUCG